AAAUAUUUUAUUAAUAUUCAGAAAAGAAAAAGGACAGCAGCUCACACAAUUCUGUAAACAGUUUAUACAAUCCAAUUGAACAAGUUUGAGACUUUUGACACUCUAUAUAUUUAUCAAAAAAUAAUUAAAAUUUAAAAUUUUUAACCAAACAAAGGGCAGCAAUUAACAUUAUGACACAAGUGAUUGUUGUUAAUGUGUGUGGGAGCGUGUGUGUGUAUGGGGAAGGGUGGGGUGUGUGCGUGAUUAAAGGUGUGUGUUUCAAAUCUUUGUGUUCUCCUUUGCCACCCACUGUGGAGGCCACGUCUUCCCACUGCAAUAAGUGUAAAGAAGAUACAAUGACGUUGUGACAGUAAAGCACAAUAAGCCACAGUGGGCUUCAGUUCGUACCUCAUACUCAGUAUGUUAACAUGUUCACAGUUAUAUGAUUGCUGGAAAUUACCUUCAUAUUGUGACAUAAACUUACAGAAUGGAGACAGAGGAAUUUAUAUGUACUCGGUUUAUGCUUGUAAUUUAAAAUAAGCAAAUACAAAUAAAAUGCACAAAAGCAUUUAAGAAUAAAUACCGUACAAUUUCCAUUACCUUAAUAAAAAACGUUGACCAUUUCUUUAUAAAAUAAAAAAAGAGAAAUUAUAUGCACCACAAGGAAGAGGGCUCCCACUCCACCAACUCCAUUUGGUUCCCCUGAGAAAUAUUUAAAAAAUGCUUACUACCAUAAGCAAUCACACUGUCAGUGUCACAGUCUGUUGUUUCAACCUGCCUGUUACUAACGUUCUCUUACCCUAAGAGGCGCUGGAGCUGCAGACUGGAGUGUUGACAGGUGUACGUCGUUGCGUCAUCAGCUGGAGGACUAUAUGAGGGUGGUUCGCUGGCUUUUCUACGCCUGAGUGUUUUGCCUACAGUAGUAGUGUUAUCUGGCCACCACCUUCUGAAUUCUGGAAGCUCCACUUGUUUUUUGAGCCUUCACUAAUUAUCCGUCUUUCCCUUCGUCAAAGGCUGUUCACGCCAAGCUGGGUUUUCCUCCUGAAACCCACCUCCUGUGAAGAUUGGAAUCUGCUGCUGCCCUUGCGAGUCCUCCAGCUGGAAGCGCAACCUGUCCACCCACUUUGUUACCUGGAACAUCAGAUCGCUCUAACCGUUUCCGUGCAGACUCUUACCACAGACUUGAACCGGCUUCUCCCCCUGGCGGAUCAAUCGCCUUCUGAAAAACCUGUCUCCUGAUCACUCUGCUCACCUCGUUCCUGAGUCGAAAAGAAAUAAAAGAAAAAGAAAACUUAAUUUACUCUUCCCUGUCUGAGUGUCCUCUGCAUGUGGGUCAAGUCGGCCUUAAAAACUAUGACAGUCAGAUGACUUAAGGGCAUUAAAAACCACUAAAUACAGUCAUAUAAUAUGUAUAUAUUCACAUUACAUUUUUACUUCAAUAAUAAUAAAAAAGAACCUUCUUCAUUUUGGUCUUUAAAACACGCUUCACCGGGUAAUACUCGCCUUGUCCCCCGACCAUAUGGCUGCAUUCUGAAAGAACAAAAAGUGUACAUAUACAUUUUUUAUAAACUUUUAUAUAACUGCAAGGAAUGUACAGAAAGAAAAUUAUCAUUCAAGACAGUUUUUGCUCACAACUGUGCAACAUAGAGAAAUUAAUGCACAUUUUAUCAUAAGCAAGUUGGAUUAUUGUUAUGUUCUACUUCUGGUCUACUUAGGUUUAUUAUAAAUGCAAAAAUACUGGUGCCAACGUAGACUACAAGACUAGAAAAGAACACAUUAAAUAUAUGAACAAUCUUUAAAUUGGCUGCCUGUGAUUUAUGUAAUUGAUUUUUCGAAUUGU